GAGCGUUUAAAUCGAUGCUUGAUUUUUCUUUCUUUCUAAUUAGAUUUCUACUUUUCAUUUUGGAGAUUAAGGAAAUUUCACGAAGCAAUCUCAGAUUUGUGCAUCGUAGGAAGAGAUGCUUCAAUGUAUAUUUCUCCUCUCCGAUUCUGGAGAGUUAAUGAUAGAGAAGCAUUUUACAGGUCAUCGCGUUGAUGGAUCCAUAUGUGCUUGGUUCUAGGAUCAAUCUAUUAGUCAAGGGCCUCAAGGCUAUCCCUUUAAGGUUUAUAUAUAUAUGCUCGUGGCAGAUUUUCGUUGUGUCCAUUAAUGCCUCAUGAUUGACAUUGGUCUCAUUUUUCACUCGCAAUCGCUUGUUGCUUUUGAGAUCCUCUUUGUUUACAUCUUGAAGAUAAAUAUGCAAUUUUGAUAGACGUUGUCAGCUAUUCCAUUCAAUGCCUCAGGAAAGGGCCGAAAGGCCAACAUGUACAACCUACUCAACUUCUGGUUCCUUUGAAGUUAGCUGCAGUUAUCUUUCUCUUACGACAUGUAUGGCUGCAAUAUCCUAUCAUUCUUUUAUCUUAAUCUCUCUCAUCAAUACGUUUAAGUGUCAUUCAUUUAUGUGACCCUAUAUGAUUAGUCUAUGUGUAAAGACAUGGUCCAAGAAAUCAGAAUUUAGUGGUAGUGUAUGCUAU